rnacentral:miRNA from 1 species
AAUGAAUCACUGCUUUUAAAGUACCCUUAACAUAUGUUAAGGGUACUUUGAAAGCAGUGAUUCAUUUUAAUUUUG